GAGUUUGAUCCUGGCUCAGGAUGAACGCUGGCGGCGUGCCUAAUACAUGCAAGUCGAGCGAACCACUUCGGUGGAAAGCGGCGAACGGGUGAGUAACACGUAGGUGAUCUGCCCAUCAGACGGGGACAACGAUUGGAAACGAUCGCUAAUACCGGAUAGGACGAAAGUUUAAAGAUGCUUCUGGCAUCACUGAUGGAUGAGCCUGCGGCGCAUUAGCUAGUUGGUGGGGUAAAGGCCUACCAAGGCGACGAUGCGUAGCCGACCUGAGAGGGUGAACGGCCACACUGGGACUGAGACACGGCCCAGACUCCUACGGGAGGCAGCAGUAGGGAAUCUUCGGCAAUGGGCGAAAGCCUGACCGAGCAACGCCGCGUGAAUGAAGAAGGCCUUCGGGUUGUAAAAUUCUGUUAUAAGGGAAGAAAGGUGAUAGGAGGAAAUGACUAUCAAUUGACGGUACCUUAUGAGAAAGCCACGGCUAACUACGUGCCAGCAGCCGCGGUAAUACGUAGGUGGCAAGCGUUAUCCGGAAUUAUUGGGCGUAAAGAGCGCGCAGGUGGUUAAUUAAGUCUGAUGUGAAAGCCCACGGCUUAACCGUGGGAGGUCAUUGGAAACUGGUUGACUUGAGUGCANAAGAGGGAAGUGGAAUUCCAUGUGUACCGGGUGAAAUGCGUAGAGAUAUGGAGGAACCCCAUUGGCCGAAGGCCGGCUUCCUGGUCUGCAACUGACCCUGAAGGCGCGAAAGCGUGG
rnacentral:rRNA from 1 species